rnacentral:rRNA from 1 species
GGAUGAACGUUGGCGGUGUGCCUAAUACAUGCAAGUCGAACGAAGAGAGUAGCAAUACAAUCUUAGUGGCGAACGGGUGAGUAACGCGUUGGUGAUCUGCCUCGAAGUGUGGAAUAACCUCCCGAAAGGGGAGCUAAUACCGCAUAGUCUCUCAGGGUUUAGAAAUCUGAGAGUAAAGGAUUUAUUCGCUUCGAGAGGAGCCUGCGUCCCAUCAGCUCGUUGGUAGGGUAACGGCCUACCAAGGCUAUGACGGGUAGGGGACCUGAGAGGGUGGCCCCCCACAAUGGAACUGAAACACGGUCCAUACACCUACGGGUGGCAGCAGUAGGGAAUAUUAGAAAUGGGCGAAAGCCUGAUCUAGCAACACCGCGUGUGCGAUGAAGGCCUUCGGGUCGUAAAGCACUUUUUGGAGGGAAUAGGAAGGAAGGUACCUCCAGAAUAAGUCUCGGCUAACUACGUGCCAGCAGCCGCGGUAACACGUAGGAGGCAAACGUUAUCCGGAUUCACUGGGCGUAAAGCGCGUGUAGGUGGUUCUGUAAGUAGGGCGUGAAAGCUCCCGGCUCAACUGGAGAGGCCGUACUAAACUGCAGAGCUAGAGGAUGGUAGAGGGAGGUGGAAUUCCAGGUGUAGUGGUGAAAUGCGCAGAUAUCUGGAGGAACACCAGUGGCGAAGGCGGCCUCCUGGACCAUUCCUGACACUCAGACGCGAAAGCUAGGGUAGCAAACGGAAUUAGAGACUCCGGUAGUCCUAGCCCUAAACGAUGCAGACUAGGCGUCGGCGGUUUAAUCACCGUCGGUGUCCAAGCUAACGCGAUAAGUCUGCCGCCUGAGGACUACGGCCGCAAGGCUAAAACUCAAAGGAAUCGACGGGUCCCCGCACAAGCAGCGGAGCGUGUGGUUUAAUUCGAUGCUCCGCGAAAAACCUUACCUGGGUUUGACAUAACAGUGGUAGAGAAGUGAAAACGGACCGACCCCUCGGGGAGCUGUUACAGGUGUUGCAUGGCUGUCGUCAGCUCGUGUCGUGAGAUGUUCGGUUAAGUCCGCUAACGAGCGCAACCCGCGCUGUGUGUUACAAGUGUCACACAGUACCGCCGGUAUUAAGUCGGAGGAAGGUGCGGAUGACGUCAAGUCAGCAUGACCUUUAUAUCCAGGGCUACACACACGCUACAAUGGUCAGAACAAUAGGUUGCCAAGCCGCAAGGCGGAGCCAAUCCUCCAAAUCUGGCCUCAGUUCAGAUUGCAGGCUGCAACUCGCCUGCAUGAAGUCGGAGUUGCUAGUAACCGCAGGUCAGCAUACUGCGGUGAAUACGUUCCCGGGGAU